rnacentral:rRNA from 1 species
UACGGAGGAUCCAAGCGUUAUCCGGAUUUAUUGGGUUUAAAGGGUGCGUAGGCGGCCUAUUAAGUCAGGGGUGAAAGACGGUAGCUUAACUAUCGCAGUGCCUUUGAUACUGAUGGGCUUGAAUGAACUAGAGGUAGGCGGAAUGUGACAAGUAGCGGUGAAAUGCAUAGAUAUGUCACAGAACACCAAUUGCGAAGGCAGCUUACUAUGGUUUUAUUGACGCUGAGGCACGAAAGCGUGGGGAGCAAGCAGG